rnacentral:rRNA from 1 species
GCUGGCGGCAUGCCUAACACAUGCAAGUCGAACGCUUUUGGGGUUUCGGCCCCAAGGGAGUGGCGCACGGGUGAGUAGCGCGUGGGAACCUGCCCUGUUGUGGGGGAUAACCGAGGGAAACUUCGGCUAAUACCGCAUGCGCCCCGGCGAAAGCCGGGGGAAAGAUUUAUCGCAACAGGAGGGGCCCGCGUCGGAUUAGCUAGUUGGUGGGGUAACGGCCCACCAAGGCGAUGAUCCGUAGCUGGUCUGAGAGGAUGAUCAGCCACACUGGGACUGAGACACGGCCCAGACUCCUACGGGAGGCAGCAGUGGGGAAUAUUGGACAAUGGGCGCAAGCCUGAUCCAGCAAUGCCGCGUGAGUGAUGAAGGCCUUAGGGUUGUAAAGCUCUUUCGCCCGCGACGAUGAUGACGGUAGCGGGAGAAGAAGCCCCGGCUAACUUCGUGCCAGCAGCCGCGGUAAUACGAAGGGGGCGAGCGUUGUUCGGAUUUACUGGGCGUAAAGGGCGCGUAGGCGGCGUAUCAAGUCAGGCGUGAAAGCCCCGGGCUCAACCUGGGAAUGGCGCUUGGGACUGGUAUGCUUGAGUUCGGGAGAGGAGAGUGGAAUUCCCAGUGUA